rnacentral:rRNA from 1 species
AUUGAACGCUGGCGGAAUGCUUUACACAUGCAAGUCGAGCUGCAGCACGGGGGCAACCCUGGUGGCGAGCGGCGAACGGGUGAGUAAUACAUCGGAACAUGCCCAGUCGUGGGGGAUAACACUUCGAAAGAAGUGCUAAUACCGCAUACGUCCUGAGGGAGAAAGCGGGGGAUCUUCGGACCUCGCGCGAUUGGAGUGGCCGAUGUCAGAUUAGCUAGUUGGUGGGGUAAAGGCCUACCAAGGCAACGAUCUGUAGCUGGUCUGAGAGGAUGAUCAGCCCCACUGGGACUGAGACACGGCCCAGACUACAACGGGAGGCAGCAGUGGAGAAUUUUGGACAAUGGGGGCAACCCUGAUCCAGCCAUUCCGCGUGAGUGAAGAAGGCCUUCGGGUUGUAAAGCUCUUUCGGCAGGAACGAAACGGCGAGCUCUAACAUAGCUUGCUAAUGACGGUACCUGAAGAAGAAGCACCGGCUAACUACGUGCCAGCCGCCGCGGUAAAAC